AGUUCGGAUUGGAGUCUGCAACCCGACUCCAUGAAGCUGGAUUCGCUAGUAAUCGCGCAUCAGCCAUGGCGCGGUGGAUACGUUCCCGGGCCUUGUACACACCGCCCGUCAAGCCAUGGGAGCCGGGAGUGCCUGAAGUGCGUGACCGCAAGGAGCGCCCUAAGGCAAGACCGGUGACUGGGGCUAAGUCGUAACAAGGUACC
rnacentral:rRNA from 1 species